AUCCGACAAUUGGCUAAUGUUUAAAAUCCGAUCCGAAAUUGUCUAAUGCGAAUCCGAUCCGAUCCGAGUUUUGAUAAAGAAUUCCGAUCCGAUCCGAAGAAUCCUUUAAUAAAAUAAAUUUCUCAUUCAUGUGGAAAUAUUUAACCUAAUAAAUAUAAAAGCAAGAAAUACAUGUCAAGAAGCUGACAAAGUGACGUCCAAUUGAAGUAUCAAACGAAUAAUGCAGCGACAACCGCGAUAAUGCUUUGAUAAAUGCAUGGCUAAUUACAUUCAAACCGGAUGUUCUCUUGCGAGCAACAUUGCAAUAUUGUCCCACAAUAUUGCAAUUUUGAUAGGCAGAUUGCUCAGAGCAAUUUGCAACCGACGCGAACAAAUUGCAAGUUGAAAUUCACAAAAGAUUUGUAAACAAAGCCUCUGAUUGGACUAUAAGAAAGAGGGAAGCACCAAUCCAG